UUGAAUUGAAAAUCUAUUGUAGGUUUUCAGUAAUAAUUUUUUACACAAUCUAACAUCUUAAACAACUAUAAAUUAUUGCCCAAGCAAAAAUUUUUAUUAGUAUAUAUAAUUUUAAAAAAAAAAAAAAAUGAAGUAGUAUACUCGACCCCUAAUAUUAGGGCACACGCCGUAGUAUACUGCCUCCAAUUUGGAAUUGCCAAUCGCAAGCUCCAAGUAGUCUACAAUAACACUAUCUACAUUGGAACUGCACAAAGCGGUGACAAAGCCUUGCUAUUCGUCUUCUUCUCCGUCUCUGUACUUGUCAGUAUCUGUGAUUUUGUUGGAAAUUUGUUUUGAGUGAAUGGAUCUGCUUCGAAAUAGUAGAAUUUUGGACCGGCUUCCUUUUAUUUCUACUGUCGUUUAUGAUCUACACCAGUAGAGAAUCCGAUUAGAUGCUAAGAAUUAAGAAUAAAAAAUCGAGCCAUUAUGACGUGUGAACUGUUUCUCUCAAUAAUGAUUUCGUCAGUGAGGUCACCAGAAUUCUGAAUUGCUUGGAGGGUUUGUAUGGUAUUGCUUCAAAGGUUAGAGAUCAAUAUUCUCCUUCAAAGGAUGCUGCAUUUUGCUUACCUUGCUUUCUUUUUGGAGCGAGACCAACGGGGCGCCCCGAAACCAAUGCAUUCACUAGUGAAGGAUUUUGAAGUUAGAAGAAAGUUACUAAUGGCAAUAUGUACGUGUGCUUUCUUAAAUCUUGUGGAAGGAUGUCCAUGUUCUGCUUAUAACAUUGCUGUGAGAAUAUGUAAGGACUUAAUGAAUCAACCUUGUCAUAUUGAUACAUCGAUGCUUAGACAAACUUUUGAACAAGUUUCAAAUAACUGAUUGAGAUUGAAGGUCACAAUUGAUGCAGUCCAAUGGCUUACUUAUCAAACUUGUGCUUUUAAAGGGCAUGAAGAAUCCCUUUAAUCAAGUAAUUGAGGCAAUUUCAUUGAAAUGGUAAAGGCUUUUGCGUCAUAUAAUAAUGACGUCGCUAAAAUUGUUCUUGAAAAUGCUCCAAAAAAUGCCAAGUAUA